CCAACGAAGAGCCGACGACUCCCGCUGAGGUCCUCCAAUACUCAAAUUACCCGUGCCCAGCGUCAUGGUGAAUACACGCCGACUGAGGGAUGACCCUCUAUUUGGAGUCGACUCUCGAUGGAGCUGGAUCAGUGCGUUCUUCUGCGCCUGGGUUCUGUUUCUGGCCAUGGCGACUCCCCGUUUAGCUGGCAUCUUCUUCUAUGGAAUCGUGGAAACGUUCGGGGUAACCCGAGCCGAAGCUUCCUGGCCGCUGUCUCUGGCGGGUCCGAUAGCUGGCUACCUCUGCCAGCGUUUCUCGUGCCGAAUCGUCCUGUUAGCCUGCUCGUCUCUGGCAGGAAUUGGGGCCAGCCUCUGCUACCUGGCGAAGUCUCUGCUAUUUAUCACAAUUUCAUUUGGAUUCGUUCACGGCGGAGCGCUCUGUGGCUUGUUCGUUGCCUCCAAUGUUCUCGUGGCCCAACACUUCGAGAAGCGAAGGGCAACGGCCAGCAGCAUAGUGUUCACAGCUUUCGGCAUCAACUCCAUUAGUGAUCACCCCACUGGUGGAGUUCUUCCGUACAACUUACGGUGUCCGUGGCGCUUUCCUUCUUUACGGGGCGAUUCUUCUAAAUGCGAUACCGGCUGUUAUCGUUCUCAGAAGCCCACCGUGGCUGAUGAAGCCGAAAGUGAAGAGAAAACUGGUACAGUCUGAAAAAGAGGACGAUUGCAGUGCAGCGGUUGUUCUCAUUGAAUCAGCAAAUGAUGACAGCGAUAUCAGCAAGGGAACAAUAUUACAAAACAGUCCCCAUUGUCCAUAUCAACCUUCCAACGGCCAUCAUGCAGCGCAUUGUUCUGCUGAAGCUGAGGUAGAAAUCGAGCAUACCGGCGUGUUUUCAAACACAAACUCUGUUAAGCUGAAAGAAGCGAGGAAGGUUCUUCUAUAUUUCAGUCUUCCCGAGACAGCAAGACAAUUCUUAACGCUGACCUUUCUCGUGCACGCACUCUCCUAUGCCGCCGUGAUCUUCACAGUUGGUGUCUUCGUCCUCAUUCCGGCGGACCUCGCUCGUGACCACGGCCUAAACCCUUCAAACGCGGUGUAUUUGCUGCAAGCUUUCUCAGCAGCGGACAUCGGCUUCAGAUCGGUGGUGGGCAUCGCCGUUGAUUCGCGGGUGUUGUCUCAUGAGUCAAUCAUGCUACUCGGAUUCCUAGUUCAAGGCCUCACUUACGAGUGGAUGGUCUGGACGAAUACACUGCCGCAACUGAUUGUCGCGUCUGCCUGCGUGGGUGCCACGUACGGCUCACGGUCGUGCCUGCUGGCGCCCGCCUUGGUCAAGGACUUCGGCAUCACCACUUUGCCAGUGAUUAUAGGUGGCGUGUUCUUCUGCACUGGCGCGUCUCUUCUCCUGCGUCCUGUCCUUAUCGGCUACUACAGGGACUCCCACGGGGACUACACCGGACUGCUUCAUUUGAUGACGGCCCUCAAUGCAUUUUUUGUGUGCGUUUGGACGUUCAAGUUGGUAGCUAAGUG
rnacentral:misc_RNA from 1 species